CACGAGGAGGGCAAGCGUUGUCCGGAUUUAUUGGGCGUAAAGAGCUCGUAGGCGGUUCGGUAAGUCGGGUGUGAAACCUCCAGGCUCAACCUGGAGACGCCACCCGAUACUGCUGUGACUCGAGUCCGGUAGGGGAGCGUGGAAUUCCUGGUGUAGCGGUGAAAUGCGCAGAUAUCAGGAGGAACACCAGCGGCGAAGGCGGCGCUCUGGGCCGGAACUGACGCUGAGGAGCGAAAGCGUGGGUAGCAAACAGG
rnacentral:rRNA from 1 species